AGGCAUUCAGGCAGCGAGAGCAGAGCAGCGUAGAGCAGCACAGCUGAGCUCGUGAGGCAGGAGACUCAGCCCGAGGAAAUCGCAGAUAAGUUUUUAAUUAAAAAGAUUGAGCAGUAAAAAGAAUUAGAACUCUAAACUUAAGCUAAUAGAGUAGCUUAUCGAAAUAUUACUUAGUCUUAAUAAUCUAAGAAGAUCUUAAGAGAUAACAUGAAGGCUUAUUUAAACAGUUUGAAAAAGGAAAUGAGGAGAAAAGUAUUUGUACUGUAUAAUGGAGGCUGACCAGAGCAGUUUAGGAGAUUGUAAAGGGAGGUUUUGUGAAGUUCUAAAAGGUUCUAGUUUGAAGGUCGGCCUUGUAGAUUAAAACGAAGGUUAGGCUAGUAUUUGGAGAAAGAAGAUUAGAAAAUGGAAGUGAAAGA
rnacentral:lncRNA from 1 species